rnacentral:rRNA from 1 species
AACGAACGCUGGCGGCGCGUCUUAACCAUGCAAGUCGAGCGGCAGGCAGCAAUGCCGAGAGCGGCGGACUGGUGAGUAACACGUGGAUAACGUACCCCGAUGCCCGGGACAGCCUGUAGAAAUAGAGGGUGAUACCGGAUAGAUCACUGUAUACGGAAGGUAGACAGCGGGAAAGGAGCUUCGGCUCCGCGCCGGGAACGGUCUACGGCCCAUCAGCUGGACGGCGGGGUAACGGCCCGCCGUGGCGAGGACGGGUAUCCGGCCUGAGAGGGCGGACGGACACAUUGGGACUGAGAUACGGCCCAGACUCCUACGGGAGGCAGCAGGUAAGAAUAUUCCGCAAUGGGGGAAACCCUGACGGAGCGACGCCGCGUGAACGAAGAAGGCCGGAAGGUUGUAAAGUUCUUUUCUGUCCGAGGAAUAAGUGUAGGAGGAAAUGCCUGCAUGGUGACGGUAGGGCAGGAAUAAGCACCGGCUAAUUACGUGCCAGCAGCCGCGGUAACACGUAAGGUGCGAGCGUUGUUCGGAAUUAUUGGGCGUAAAGGGCAUGCAGGCGGGUCGCCAAGCUUGGUAAGAAAUACCGGGGCUCAACUCCGGAGCUAUAUUGAGAACUGGCGAGCUGGAGUUGCCGAAGGGUAUCCGGAAUUCCGCGUGAAGGGGUGAAAUCUGUAGAUAUGCGGAAGAACACCGAUGGCGAAGGCAGGAUACCGGCGGACGACUGACGCUGAGGUGCGAAGGUGCGGGGAGCAAACAGG